rnacentral:rRNA from 1 species
AUGCUGGCCGCGCUCGUGCUGGUGGCCGCGGCGACGUGCGCCGACGCCGGGGAGAGCUACGGCGCGUCCAUGUUCACGGUGACGGGCACCGUGCUGUGCCAGGACUGCACCAAGAACUGGAACGCCUACGCCUACAACGCCAAGCCCAUCGCCGGCAGCGUGGUGGCGGUGACGUGCCUGGACGAGCACACGGGGCGGACGGUGAUCCACCGCACGGACACGACGGACGAGGAGGGGGUCUUCAAGGUGGAGGUGCCGUACGCCCACGACGGCGGCAGCUGCCGCCUCGACCCGGCCCACUGCCUCGUCCGCCUCGUCAGGUCGGGGGACAAGGGCUGCGCCGUGCUCACCAACUUCAACGGCGGCACGACCGGCGAGAAGCCGUACCGCCCCUCGCGGGUCAGCCCCACCGAGGUCGCCUACUCGGCAGGGCCCUACUACGCCACCUUCACGCAGUGCGACGUCGACGGCGACGACAAGAGCUGCUCCUGA